GCCCGCCUAGCUCAAUUGGUCAGAGCGUCAGACUUUUACGCUUACGCGGAUGUUCAUCUGAAAGUUGCGGGUUCGAGUCCCGCGGUGGGCU